GGAUGUGAGGAUGAUCUGGCUGUGACAUCUGUUAUCCCAUUGAUUGCCAGGGUUGAUCUGGCUGAUCUGGCUGGGUAGGCAGGUGUCCCCUUCCUCCUGACCACUCCAUGUGCAGCCCUUGUGAAGCUGUGUUCUUGGUUGAAGAGGAUGAUCUUCUCCAAUAGAGGAGGACCAUUCUUUGAUCAAGGGUAUAUGAGUAGCUGCACUCUCCUGCCAGAACCUCCAAGUAAGCUCUCAAGGUCCAUAUGUUAUUUUGAGAACUUCAGAGUGUCCCUGCCCACAUGCCACAACCCCUUGCUGCUUCCAGUCUGA
rfam:Callithrix jacchus chromosome 5, whole genome shotgun sequence